AGAAACACAUGGACUCUGCUUGCUUCCGUUUAAAGGCUUUUAUUUUGACACGCUGCCGGACACAGACUUUCCCUUACAACAUGCAGGGGUGGCAUGAACCCAGCCAAGGACCACACUCACGGUUCUGUGACAGAACCGGACUUAUCAACAUAACGAACACAGUAGAACGAGUACAAGAAUACAGGAAAGACACUGAACUUAAAUUAACACACUAAAUUACAUUGAACACAAGCGAACCCUCGGGCAAACCACAAACCACGCCCCUUGGGUCGCCACAAUAUUGUACAAAUUAGACUAAUGUUUAUUCAGUAAGUAAGCAAUAAUAGAAAAUUAAAAUGUGACAUGUUGCUGGGAUGAAAACAUUAUCAUGAAAGCCAUGAAUAUUCAGCUGCAUACACAUGUCUGUGCACACUGAAUAAAUAAAAAUAAGGCCGCAAAACAAGAUAAGGGUACACGUCUCACGUUGCCAGUCAUAGCAUCUGUAUGUGUAGACGGUUGAAUUGUUUUCAUUUAUUUCGGUCAUUAAAUACCAUUGCAUUGGAAGUUAGUGCACUGCUGUGACAAAUCCAGGCCACUAGAAGGCGCAUUCAGUUUAAGGGGCAGUGAACAGGAUCGCCAACACACACUGAGGAAGAAUAAAUCCUCCUGCGUGAAGUAACAACAGCACAACGUGUGUGUCUCAUCUGUUCAUUCUCACAGGUCUAUCCAUUCUCCAUCCUGUGUGGACAUCAUCACUUAAAGUUAUGCUAAGCAGGAUGCGUGGGGUCUCAUACAGGAUUCGACGCAGGAGGUCUGCCUGGAGGUUCCAGUGACCCUGAUUGGAGCGACACCCAGUCCGGCUCUCCAAUCAGAUACGUCAAUCAAGACUACCCUUGCUUUAAGAAUGGACCAGAACAUCACUCAGCAUGCCAUUGAGAGACAAUAAUUUCAAGAAAAGAAGAAAACCAUGUACCCAGCAGUAAGGGAUGAUGGCUCUCAGGGACCCGGAGCUGUUCCAAGAGAGACCUGGCUUCACCAAUCUAGUCCAACACCAGAUCUCCCUCAAAGAGGCGGAUCCCAGAUGGAAGAAAAGCUACCGCAUAUUAGAGAUGUUGGCACCAGCACAAAAAGAGAUUCAGUUGAUGCUGGACCUGGAAAUCAUUGAAGUGUCAAACAGUGAGUGAUGCAGUCUAGUAGUUCUGGUGCUGAAGAAAGAUGGCUCGUUGAGAUUCUGUAUUGACUUCAGGCACCUCAUACCCAAUGCCCAGCAUCGAUGAACUGCUGAAGAGUGUUGGAAGAUCAACAUUUAUGAGUACAUUGAAUCUGAGCAAAGGGUACUGGCAGGUGGCCUUGGCACCUGAGGCAAAAGAGCUGACCGCCUUUACAACACCAGGGAUGCCAUUAGGUCUCCAGGGUGACCAUUAACCUCUGGAAACCUUCCAGAGGUUAAUGGACCUGGUCCUGUGAGACAGAGGGGAACCCUUAGGGACUUCUAGGACUUCAGAGAAGGCCCAACAUAUCAGCAUUUUAAAUAUCAUAUUUAACAUAUUUCAAUCAAUAAUAAUUAUCUAUUUUAAUCAUAUUUUGCUAUUGUAUUGAGUGGAACAAAAAAAACAUUGCCUUACGCCUUCCAGAAGGCCACUGACAUCUAGACGGUUCAGUGAGUGCGAAGUGUGAGGGCCACCAUAGUAAUGACAUUUAGAAGCUAAAGCAUCUGGUGAAUAAUUUCAGUGUGCCAUGUCAAAAGAUUCCCUGGGGAGACAAGCGCCUCUUUAACGUUCAUCGGGGGUUCCAACUGUGUUUAGAAUUCAUUUAAUAAAGAUUCUAGCUAGUUUGUGGGUUUAUGAAUAUGUGUUUUGUCAGCUAUGUAUAUUUUGGUUGUCAUGUGAAUAUAUUUGUAUAUAGAGCACCUUGAGCACCCCUUUGUGUGGUAGCACCCAAUGGUGGGUACUAAAUAAGGCUGCCUUAAUUCCAGCUCCGGUGUGUUAUGUCAUUACUGCUGGUCACUGCAAAGCUGUACUGCCUUAAAGUGGAAAUAUUUGUAAAUAAAUGCUCAUGUUUGGGGUUUACUGGAUUUUCUGCUUAUGCCUCAGCAAAUUGUUCACUUCUGCUCACAAUUGUUUUUAUCAUAUUUCACUUAAUAAAUAUCUACUAGAUAUCUAA